UACGGAGGGGGCAAGCGUUGUUCGGAAUUACUGGGCGUAAAGGGCGCGCAGGCGGCUGCUCAAGUCAGGCGUGAAAGGCCUGGGCUCAACCCGGGAAUUGCGCUUGAGACUGGGCUGGCUUGAGUGCGGGAGAGGAUGGUGGAAUUCCCAGUGUAGAGGUGAAAUUCGUAGAUAUUGGGAAGAACACCGGUGGCGAAGGCGGCUCUCUGGACCACAACUGACGCUGAGGCGCGAAAGCUAGGGGAGCAAACAG
rnacentral:rRNA from 1 species